rnacentral:rRNA from 1 species
CACGCCGUAAACGAUGAGUGCUAGGUGUCGGGGGGGAACCCUCGGUGCCGCAGCUAACGCAAUAAGCACUCCACCUGGGGAGUACGAUCGCAAGAUUGAAACUCAAAGGAAUUGACGGGGACCCGCACAAGCAGCGGAGCAUGUGGUUUAAUUCGAAGCAACGCGAAGAACCUUACCUGGACUUGACAUCCCCUGAAUAACUCGUAAUGGAGGAAGCCCUUCGGGGCAGGGAGACAGGUGG